rnacentral:rRNA from 1 species
UCCUACGGGAGGCAGCAGUGGGGAAUAUUGGACAAUGGGCGCAAGCCUGAUCCAGCCAUACCGCGUGGGUGAAGAAGGCCUUCGGGUUGUAAAGCCCUUUUGUUGGGAAAGAAAUCCUGCCGGUUAAUACCCGGUAGGGAUGACGGUACCCAAAGAAUAAGCACCGGCUAACUUCGUGCCASCAGCCGCGGUAAUACGAAGGGUGCAAGCGUUACUCGGAAUUACUGGGCGUAAAGCGUGCGUAGGUGGUUUGUUAAGUCUGAUGUGAAAGCCCUGGGCUCAACCUGGGAAUGGCAUUGGAUACUGGCAGGCUAGAGUGCGGUAGAGGAUGGCGGAAUUCCCGGUGUAGCAGUGAAAUGCGUAGAGAUCGGGAGGAACAUCUGUGGCGAAGGCGGCCAUCUGGACCAGCACUGACACUGAGGCACGAAAGCGUGGGGAGCAAACAGGAUUAGAUACCCUGGUAGUCCACGCCCUAAACGAUGCGAACUGGAUGUUGGGAGCAACUUGGCUCUCAGUAUCGAAGCUAACGCGUUAAGUUCGCCGCCUGGGGAGUACGGUCGCAAGACUGAAACUCAAAUGAAUUGACGGGG